CUCAGCCUAACCACCAUUUUUGCAGAUGUAUAUGCCCUCUCCGUUCUUAUGAUAAAAUGGAAUCGACGACUGGGGUUAGGGGAGAAAUAGAUACCAAAUC